rnacentral:misc_RNA from 1 species
GAUGAGAACGUAGCGAAAUGCGAUAAGUAAUGUGAAUUGCAGAAUUCAGUGAAUCAUCGAAUCUUUGAACGCACAUUGCGCCCAUUAGUAUUCUAGUGGGCAUGCCUGUUCGAGCGUCAUUAAGUCCACUUAAGCCCUGCUUAGUGUUGGGAGACUGCUCCAGCGGUGCUACCCUGUAGCUACCCUGCAGCUCCUCAAAGACAGCGGCGGAGUUGUGGUAUCCUCUGAGCUUAGUAACUUGUUCUAGCUUUCGAGUACACCACUUCCCCUGCCGUAAAACCCUUAAUUUUUAAUGGUUGACCUCGGAUCAGGUAGGAAUACCCGCUGAACUUAAGCAUAUCAAUAAGCGGAGGA